GCUGAAUUCCCACUUAUUUAACUUUUCAGUAGUUCAAGCGAAUCAACACCAAUAUGAAGUUCCUGAUUGUAUUACUCUCUUUUUUUGCCAUUUCUUGGGCUCAAUUUCUGCCACUGGAUGUAACAGACGAAGAGCAUGCUGCCUCUUUAGGUGGAGCUGAAGUAGGACUUUAUCGUAGAAGCUCUGAUGGUUUUUUGCCAAUAUACUAUCCUGGCUAUUUUCCUUUCAUUUAUCCUUUUAAUCGUAGAUCAGAAAUUAACAGUGCUUCGUUGGGAGGCGCUCGAGUAGGAUUUUAUGGUAGAGACUGAUUAGGCUCAAUAGGUGAAAUCUGAUUCCGAUGUAUUUUGUUCCUCAUGGAAAAUGAAGUUAACAAAAAUGUCCGUCAUUCUUGCACUUUUUAUUGUUAAAAUAAAUUUAUUGGAAAAUUCAUUUGAG